rnacentral:rRNA from 1 species
GACGAACGCUGGCGGCGUGCUUAACACAUGCAAGUCGAACGAAGUGGCGAAUGGGUGAGUAACGCGUAAUCAACCUGCCCUUCAGAGGGGGACAACAGUUGGAAACGACUGCUAAUACCGCAUACUGAAGGAGGGGAUUGCGUCUGAUUAGCUAGUUGGAGGGGUAACGGCCCACCAAGGCGAUGAUCAGUAGCCGGUCUGGUAGGAUGAACGGCCACAUGGGGACUGGGACACGGCCCAGACUCCGACGGGGGGCAGCAGUGGGGAAACUGCCGGAAUGGACGAAAGUCUGACGGAGCAACGCCGCGUGAGUGAUGACGGCCUUAGGGUUGUAAAGCUCUGUUAAUCGGGACGCGGUACCGGAAUAGAAAGCCACGGCUAACUACGUGCCAGCAGCCGCGGUAAUUC